rnacentral:rRNA from 1 species
CCUGAUAGUACAACAAAGCUUCGGCCGCGUUGAUAGCAUCCCUAAUCAGACUUCCAAGAAAAACUUCUAAGGUUCGUUUAUAGCAGCCCGUACCGUAAACCGACACAGGUAGUCGAGAUGAGUAUUCUCAGGCGCUCGAGUGAUCCGUGGUAAAGGAACUAGGCAAAUUGACGCUGUAACUUCGAGAUGAGGCGUGCCGCAGUAAUGCGGCCUCAGUAAAAUGGUACAACCAACUGUUUAACAAAAACACAGGGCCCUGCAAAAUCGAAAGAUGACGUAUAGAGCCUGAUACCUGCCCGGUGCUGGAAGGUUAAGGAAGGAUGUUCGGGGUAACCCAAAGCUUCUGACUGAAGCCCCAGUAAACGGCGGCCGUAACUAUAACGGUCCUAAGGUAGCGAAAUUCCUUGUCGGGUAAGUUCCGACCUGCACGAAUGGUCUAAUGAGUUGUACACUGUCUCUACCACGAGCUCGGUGAAAUUGUAGUAUCGGUGAAGAUGCCGGUUAAUCGCAACGGGACGGAAAGACCCCGUGAACCUUCACUACAACUUAACAUUGAUUUUGAAUGCCAGAUGUGUAGGAUAGUUGGGAGACUAUGAAGCAGCUUCGCUAGGAGUUGUGGAGUCAUCGUUGAAAUACCAACCUUCUGUUAUUUAGAGUCUAAUCCCUUAACGGGGAGACAUUGUUUGGUGGGUAGUUUGACUGGGGUGGUCGCCUCCUAAAAGGUAACGGAGGCUCGCAAAGGUACCCUCAGUACGGUUGGUAAUCGUACGUAGAGCGCAUUAGUAUAAGGGUGCUUGACUGUGAGGCAAACAAGCCGAGCAGGUGCGAAAGCAGGCUAAAGUGAUCCGGUGGUUCUGUAUGGAAGGGCCAUCGCUCAAAGGAUAAAAGGUACUCCGGGAUAACAGGCUGAUCUCACCCAAGAGCUCAUAUCGACGGUGAGGUUUGGCACCUCGAUGUCGGUUCGUCACAUCCUGGGGCUGGAGAAGGUCCCAAGGGUUCGGCUGUUCGCCGAUUAAAGUGGCACGUGAACUGGGUUCAGAACGUCGCAAGACAGUUCGGUCCCUAUCUGUUGUGAUCGUUAGUAAAUUGAGAGGACAUGACCUUAGUACGAGAGGACCGGGUCGUACAUACCGCUGGUGUAUCUGUUGUGCCGCCAGGUGCAGUGCAGAGUAGCUAUGUAUGGAUAGGAUAAACGCUGAAAGCAUCUAAGCGUGAAACCUGCUUCAAGAUGAGUUUACUUUUAAGGGCCGUCGGAGACUACGACGUUGAUAGGUUACAGGUGUAAGGGUGGUAACAUCGCGGCCGAGUAAUACUAAUUGCCCGUAAGCCAA